AACGAACGCUGGCGGCAGGCCUAACACAUGCAAGUCGAACGCUGUAGCAAUACAGAGUGGCAGACGGGUGAGUAACGCGUGGGAACCUUCCCAGUGGUACGGAAUAGCCCAGGGAAACUUGGGGUAAUACCGUAUAAGCCCCUAGGGGGAAAGAUUUAUCGCCAUUGGAUGGGCCCGCGUCGGAUUAGCUAGUUGGUGAGGUAAUGGCUCACCAAGGCGACGAUCCGUAGCUGGUCUGAGAGGAUGAUCAGCCACACUGGGACUGAGACACGGCCCAGACUCCUACGGGAGGCAGCAGUGGGGAAUAUUGGACAAUGGGCGCAAGCCUGAUCCAGCCAUGCCGCGUGAGUGACGAAGGCCUUAGGGUUGUAAAGCUCUUUUGGCGGGACGAUAAUGACGGUACCCGCAGAAUAAGCUCCGGCUAACUUCGUGCCAGCAGCCGCGGUAAUACGAAGGGAGCUAGCGUUGUUCGGAAUCACUGGGCGUAAAGCGCACGUA
rnacentral:rRNA from 1 species